rnacentral:rRNA from 1 species
CCUACGGGAGGCAGCAGUGAGGACUAUUGGUCAAUGGACGAGAGUCUGAACCAGCCAAGUAGCGUGAAGGAUGACUGCCCUAUGGGUUGUACACUUCUUUUAUAUGUGAAUAAAACAGGGUAUGCAUACCCUCUUGUAUGUACCAUAUGAAUAAGGAUCGGCUAACUCCGUUCCAGCAGCCGCGGUAAUACUGAGGAUCCGAGCGUUAUCCGGUUUUAUUGGGUUGAAAGGGAGGGUAGGUGGAUUUGUAAGUCAGGUGUGAAAUGUUGGGGCUCAACCGUAGAAUUGCAGUUGAAACUGGCAGUCUUGAGUACGGUAGAGGUAGGAGGAAUUCGUGGUGUAGCGGUGAAAUGCUGAGAUAUCACGAAGAACUCCGAGUGCGAAGGCAGCUGACUGGACUGAAACUGACACUGAUGCACGAAAGUGUGGGUAUCAAACAGGAUUAGAUACCCCAGUAGUC